rnacentral:rRNA from 1 species
GACAUAGGAUGCAAGCAUUAUCCGGAAUGAUUGGGCGUAAAGCGUCUGUAGGUGGCUUUUCAAGUCUGUCAUCAAAUCCCAGGGAUCAACCCUGGACAGGCGGUGGAAACUACCAAGCUAGAGUACGGUAGGGGCAGAGGGAAUUUCCGGUGGAGCGGUGAAAUGCGUAGAGAUCGGAAAGAACGCCAACGGCGAAAGCACUCUGCUGGGCCGACACUGACACUGAGAGACGAAAGCUAGGGGAGCGAAUGGG